rnacentral:pre_miRNA from 1 species
UCUUGGUAAUCACAACAUACAGUUGACUCUUGGUAGUUAUGUUGUGACUACCAAGAGUCAACUGUAUGUUGUGACUAUCAAGA